rnacentral:rRNA from 1 species
GAUGAACGCUGGCGGCGUGCCUAAUACAUGCAAGUCGAGCGAACGGACGAGAAGCUUGCUUCUCUGAUGUUAGCGGCGGACGGGUGAGUAACACGUGGAUAACCUACCUAUAAGACUGGGAUAACUUCGGGAAACCGGAGCUAAUACCGGAUAAUAUUUUGAACCGCAUGGUUCAAAAGUGAAAGACGGUCUUGCUGUCACUUAUAGAUGGAUUCGCGCUGCAUUAGCUAGUUGGUAAGGUAACGGCUUACCAAGGCAACGAUGCAUAGCCGACCUGAGAGGGUGAUCAGCCACCAAGGAACUGAGACACGGUCCAGACUCCUACGGGAGGCAGCAGUAGGGAAUCUUCCGCAAUGGGCGAAAGCCUGACGGAGCAACGCCGAGUGAGUGAUGAAGGUCUUCGGAUCGUAAAACUCUGUUAUUAGGGAAGAACAUAUGUGUAAGUAACUGUGCACAUCUUGACGGUACCUAAUCAGAAAGCCACGGCUAACUACGUG